GAUGAACGCUGGCGGCGUGCCUAAUACAUGCAAGUCGAGCCACCGGACGCGCAGCUUGCUUCUCUGAUGUUAGCGGCGGACGGGCGAGUAACACGUGGAUCACCUACCUACUAGACUGGCCUCACUUCGGGAAACCGGCGCUAACACCGCAUAAUAUUUUGAAACGCAUGGUCCAACAGUGACAGACGGUCUUGCUGUCACUUACAGCAGGAUCCGCGCUGCAGUAGCUAGUUGGUAAGGUAACGGCUUACCAAGGCAACGCUGCAUAGCCGACCUGAGAGGGGGAUCGGCCACGCUGGAACUGUGACACGGUGCAGACUCCUACGGGGGGCAGCAGGAGGGAGUCUUCCGCAAUGGGCGAAGGCCUGACGGAGCAACGCCGCGUGAGUGAUGAAGGUCUUCGGAUCGAGAAACUCUGUUAUUUGGGAAGAACAUAUGUGUAAGGAACUGUGCUGAUCGGGACGGUACCUAAGCAGAAAGGCACGGCUAACUACGUG
rnacentral:rRNA from 1 species